CUCUCGGUCUCCCGGGCAAGCCUGGCGUUUGUGCGUCUGCAAGCGCAGCCGCCAGCGGCCCGGCGGCGUGAAGGCCUGUAAACAAACAAAGGCGUUCGCAGCUCCCGCCCGCCGAGGCCAGCAGGCUGCAGUGGGUCCCCAGAUUUGCAUUUUUAACAAGUUCCAGCUGCUGCUGCUGGGCGGCUGCUACCCCGGGACCUCCCCCGCAGCACGAGCGGCCCUGAAGAACAAAGGCGAGCUUUGUGGGCUCUGGUCACAGAGACGACAGGAGUUUUGUGGUGCUGGUUGAGCGGCGUACAAGGCAAGGGGGACAUCACGCAGGAAGAACCAUGGAUGAAGAGAGGAGAAAGGUGGUUGCAAACAGCUUUCUCCAGGUAACAGCAUAGAAACCUGCAAGGCUCUCAGCUUUGGGGGACCUACCGAAUUCCUGCCCCGGAAGUCGUAGGACAGCAAUGGCUUACAAGCAGAGAAAAAUGACUCGGGCCCCAGACAGCGCCUCUCUGAAGAGACUGCUACACUCUCCACCCUGUGCUCAGGGGAGACUGAAGCCAGGCUGUAGCCCAGUGUCUAGGACGGCCACAUGCCCAGCUCCUGUGGGGCACUCCCAGGACUCCUGGCACGGCUUGCCACCCUCCCACACCACCCCAGCCGACGUUGCCUGGGCACAUGCCGUGACCCUGCUUGGAAUGGCCCCUAUCCAUAGGGACUCACUAGAAUGAAGGGUUAAGUCUGACCCGGGAAACCCCUAAAAAAGGAGUCAGAGCUGUCAGGUAAGUGUAGCCUGUGGGGUGAGGGCCAUUAGAGCGCAGAUUCUGGCGCCAGAGAUAAGAAGUCUCCCGGAAUCCUUUGAGGAGGACGUCUGGGUGGAUUUGACCUUGGUGGACCAUGGUCACCGUACGGGACGGCCUCACACGGAGCAAAGCCUUUGUGAACCAGGGUCUGAGUAGCCCACACUGCCCUCAAAGUGAACAUCCUCCUGUUUCUGGGAUUAGAGGUGCGAGCAUUGGCUCUGACUUCGUGUGUUAACGACGGAGCCCGCCCCGGACCACCACUGCCAGCACACUUUCAAAUCUGUGUGCCCUGAGUUCUGGGAACAAAGAAAUGACAUCGUUUUCAUUCCUGCCCUCGAGAGACCCCUCGACCCUCUGGGAAGGGCUGGCAGCGUGCACGGACGGUGGCACUACAGUCCGGAGGGCGACAGGAUUUCUUCCUUCUCGGGUUCGGGGCCCCGCUCGGCGGGCGCGCGGUGCGGCGAGCGCCCUACCUCCAGGCGCCUCCCUCGCCGGAGAGCAUCCUUUGUGCAGCCGCCUUCCAGGCCCCGCCCCUGCCUCCCGCCCCGCCCCCGGCGCGUUGCCAUGGAGACCUCAAGCCCCUCGAAGCUGCCUGCGUCUCCGCGCCCCUCCCCCCUCGCCGUCUCUCCCGGCUGCGGAUUCCCUCCAGGCUUGACAGUAUCCAGAACUUUCCUCAGGCGGGAGGUGUCCUCCGCCCUUCGGGGUCGGUGAAAGCCGAGCCCCAGACGUUAGGCGAUUUGCUCGCGGCCCCUCCUGCCGCCCUUCUCGAGCUCAGCUCGGACACGCUCCCGCCUUCCUUCCCAGUGCGUCGCGCUGGGCCUCUUCUCCACCUCGGCUCAUUUCUCUCUUUUUUUUUCCGACAAAUGACAUGAAGUUCAAUCCUUAGGUUUAGCGACUUCACAUCUAUUCUUGGAUUAGCUGUUUCAAGUCCUUUGUGAACUGAAAAUAGUGCCGGAUGAUAAAGACCUGCCAACAAGCCACCUCAGAAUGUACCAGCCCCGACUGGGUUCAGGCAACAGUGGUGAUCGUGUUUCCCAGCCUCGCAAUAUGCCAGAGGGAAUUAAGAAAAACCGUUGGUGACCACGCCAAAUUACCCACCACAGAGGGAGAAUUUGAAAGCUAAGUAUCAAGAGUUAGAACUCCAGAAGACAAGAGUAUCGAAUCCUAUGGGGGUGGGGGGAGAGAGACUGUCGUACGAGGCUGUUUUCCAAGCCCACCGGCCGUUUUUUGGCUUCUGCACACUAAUUUGGAGGUGUCGCUCCUGCACUCAUGCAGAUGUGAAAGGGCUGUGGAAACCUUCAGGUGCCCAUCAUAUGUCAUUUGUUGUUAUUCAAGGAACAGCAGGGGCUGGAGAGAGAGAGUUCAGGUGCCGAGUGCUUACAGUUCACGCUGACCCCCUGGGGGUUCCGUUUCCAGUACCCACGUGGUGGCUCGUAGCCACCUGUGACUAGGACCACCAGUUCUAGAGGCUCUGAAGCAUCUUCUGUCCUCCUUGGGUUUCUGCACACACUUGGUACACCCAUGCACACACACAUGAAAUAAAAAUAAAUAACAAACCUCAGCCCUUCUCCGCUGACCCCUUGUCACACUGACUUGAAACAGUCUAUCACUAACAUAAGUAAGGGGGAAAGUCCAUGUCCGGCCUGGGGAGCCCGAUUCUAAUCCAAGAAUCCACUGGGUCUGCUGUUCUUACUCUGUCCAUCUGGGAAGUCCAAGGCUGGAGUCCAGCGCAGGGUGGGGACGAAGGUCAGAAGGGCCCUAGGCCACGAGGGACAGGCAGCUGUCCAUCCCCCGGGCUCGCCCAUGGAGCUACAGCCUGCGGCUCUCCCUGUCCUCAGCCAGCCUCCUUCGGGGCUUCGUUUUCUGCACUAUCCAUACUCAUGGCGUAUCUUUCUUCCAUUAAUUCCAGUUACUCCACUUUGUCAAUGUUUCUGGAAUUAACCUCCCUCCUUCCCUCAGGAACCCACCUGACCCCUUGCCACCCCUGCCAGCCUCACAAGUCCUGAGCACCUUUUCUGUCACUCUACACUCCCCGCUCCCCGACAGCCUGGUGGCUGCAGGAGCAUUCCUCUCUCUCUCCCUCUCUCCCUCCCUCCCUCUCUCUCUCUCUGCAGGUUCUGUCUGGUACUUGGAGUUCUCUCCCUCAUAGCCUCAGGGGAGGAAGCUGCUGACUCACCCCAGGUUUGAAUGAACCUGGUUGUGUGGCUGCCCCUGGGGAGAUGUAAACAGUGUCAGCUUGUCUCACAUAGGCUCACAGGAAUGAGCCCUGCUCAGGGAACUCAUGGUUCCUGGGCCCACUUUGAGAAGCCUGGGAGACCCCUGCACAAUCACGUCACUUAAAGGUCUCACCUCAGCGUGGAGUCUCUGCCUUCGGUUAAUUUUCCACACUCUAUAUUAUGGCACUUUGGGAGCCCCAGUGCAGAUGGGGUGGAAUCACAAACAGGUGGAGAGGCCUGUGGAGGAGUCUCAGGCGGAAUCUCAGGAGGUGUUCUGAUGGCCUCCUCCUCCUCCUCCUCCUUCGAGGCAACACCAACUCAGCCACAUCCUCCCUUGGGAAGGGCUUCCCAAGGAUUCGGGGAGGGCUGCGUUCCACAGCAGGUAUCCGUGUGUUCUGACGGGAACCGCUUCACCACAGGUUCCUGGGAGUCGUGGAUACCGCCAGGACUAGCCGUGUGCUACUCAGCCACCACGUGGGGCCCAGCUCACACAGUUUGCACGGUUUCCUUGGGCCAGCGCCUCACCUUGGUGUUUGAGUGGGAUGGUUGGCUGUAGUCUCAAGCUGCCACAUUUGAGAAUCACUGGGGCAGGGGCCUCACCUGAGGACCUGCCCUGACUGCUUUAACUGCCACCCCAAAUGUGGCGUCUUGGAUAGAUAGGGGGGCUGGCAAAGGGAAGCUCAUUCCCCUUUGCUCCAUUGGCCUUCCCUCUUGGCUGGGGUUGAUUUAACCUGUUACCACUGCUGCCCGUGGUGAUGACGAUGAAGGCGAUGAUGACAACGAUUCAUUCGCUGAUGUUAGAACCAGCAUUUCCAGGUUUCCACCACAGACCAUGGACCGGCGCUCUCCAGCAAUCUACAAGGUUUCGGAGCCAGGCUGGGACUGUGGAGGACUCCUGGGUUGAGCAACAAACCAGCCUUUCAGGACCUAUGUGGCAGAAGGAGAGGACUGACUCCCACAAGGCCUCUGGUCUCCACACGCAUGCCACGCUGUCCUGCAAACGUGCACCACCACACGCAGCUCCAAGUUACUUCCGUCUGAGAAGCCUCUCACGGUUCACCCACGAGUAACUCUGCACAGACGCCCUGCCGGGAAUCUGGCGAAAGACCGCGUGGCCGACGCAGACUGUGGGAGCCAGCCCUCGGGAGUUCUGAAGGGCCGCAGAGGUUCCGAGGGCACCGUGGGCAGCCUUCGGGGGCGCCCUCCCGUGGGACAGAGAGCGGGCCCCGCCGCCUUGCCCCUGACUCCAGACAGCAACAGCCCCUGAGUUGCCGGUGUUUAGACUGCACAGCCCCUCCCGUGGGGUUCCUGGGGGCAGCCAGCCCCGGCUGCCUGGGAUCCGUCUGCAGCAUGGCACACUGGGCUGUGAGCCAGACAGGCGGCCACAAACCGGUGAGGGAACCCUGGAAUGCCGCGCAGAUGGGAGCGGCUGGGAUCGGCAUACAAAGCUGAGGUCAGAGGUCAGAGAGUUUGGUGUGCGCCUGCAGGGAAGGAGGGAGCUAAUGGGACUGAUUCCGAAGGCCCGAGGAAUGUACCAGAUACUUAUUUCCCGGGGGCUUAGAAACAAUGGUUUGACAGCUACUUUGAAAUUCUAGGAUGAUGGGCCUCAAAUCUGACCUAACUUUCAGGACAGAACCUUUGGCUCCACUACUUAACAGUGCUGUGAUCAACAACCCGCUUACCUCUCCCAGGACUCAGUUUAUGUUAGGAUUUUGGAACCAAACCUGCUUCUGGGUUGCCUGGCAACUUAUGAUGUCAUCAUGGGUCCCUGGCCAGGUGGCCAUACCUGGAAGGCAUGGUUACCUUGCCCCUUAAAGGGACCAACAUGUGGUCUCUCUUGGUCUCUGUUGCUCCUGGCCUCUUCUCUCUUGGCCUUCUCCCCUUUCUCUAUCGGAGCGCCCCCUUCUUUCUCUUUCCCUCUCUCUUCUCCCCCUCUCUUUUCCUCUAUUAUGUCCUGCUUCCCCCUUCUCUCCCUCUCUUCAUAUCCACCUAAUAAACCACUUUCAC